rnacentral:rRNA from 1 species
AACGAACGCUGGCGGCAUGCCUAACACAUGCAAGUCGAACGAGACCUUCGGUCUAGUGGCGCACGGGUGCGUAACGCGUGGGAACCUGCCCUUAGGUUCGGAAUAACUCCCCGAAAGGGGUGCUAAUACCGGAUAAUGUCUUCGGACCAAAGAUUUAUCGCCUUUGGAUGGGCCCGCGUUGGAUUAGCUAGUUGGUAGGGUAAAAGCCUACCAAGGCGACGAUCCAUAGCUGGUCUGAGAGGAUGAUCAGCCACACUGGGACUGAGACACGGCCCAGACUCCUACGGGAGGCAGCAGUGGGGAAUAUUGGACAAUGGGCGAAAGCCUGAUCCAGCAAUGCCGCGUGAGUGAUGAAGGCCUUAGGGUUGUAAAGCUCUUUUACCCGGGAUGAUAAUGACAGUACCGGGAGAAUAAGCUCCGGCUAACUCCGUG